rnacentral:rRNA from 1 species
UACGAAGGGUGCAAGCGUUAAUCGGAAUUACUGGGCGUAAAGGGUGCGUAGGCGGUUCGUUAAGUCUGUCGUGAAAUCCCCGGGCUCAACCUGGGAAUGGCGAUGGAUACUGGCGAGCUAGAGUGUGUCAGAGGAUGGUGGAAUUCCCGGUGUAGCGGUGAAAUGCGUAGAGAUCGGGAGGAACAUCAGUGGCGGAGGCGGCCAUCUGGGACAACACUGACGCUGAAGCACGAAAGCGUGGGGAGCAAACAGG